rnacentral:tRNA from 1 species
CGGCACGCAGCGGGCCGGCGUACCGCUCGGGCAGGCUCAGCGCCCACGAGUCCAGUUCGACGCCAGGCGCGCCGCC